GACGAACGCUGGCGGCGUGCUUAACACAUGCAAGUCGAGCGGUAAGGCCCUUUCGGGGGUACACGAGCGGCGAACGGGUGAGUAACACGUGGGUGACCUGCCCUCAGCUCUGGGAUAAGCCCGGGAAACUGGGUCUAAUACCGGAUAUGACUCCAUGACGCAUGUUGUGGGGUGGAAAGCCUUGUGCGGCUGAGGAUGGGCCCGCGGCCUAUCAGCUUGUUGGUGGGUGAUGGCCUACCAAGGCGACGACGGGUAGCCGGCCUGAGAGGGCGACCGGCCACACUGGGACUGAGAUACGGCCCAGACUCCUACGGGAGGCGAGCAGUGGGGAAUCUUGCGCAAUGGGCGAAAGCCUGACGCAGCGACGCCGCGUGAGGAU
rnacentral:rRNA from 1 species